AUCAUGGUAGCUCAGUAGGGAGAGCGUUAGACUGAAGAUCUAAAGGUUGCCGAUUCGAUCCCGCGUCGAGGCA
rnacentral:tRNA from 1 species